GGUAUUGUGCUGUUCUCACAGCUUUGCCAGAAUGGAUUGGAGACACAGUCACUGUGAUAAUUGAUAAUCUCAGAUUGGCUUGGUCUGAAUCAAUUGCUACAAGAUCUGAAACGUCUAAAUACUCUUCUGCAUCGGUCAAUUCAAGGGUCCUGAAAUUUUGGAAAGAUGCAAAAAAGAAGUUGGUGACAAUUGGCCAAAAAUAAUCCGUGUUCCACACUAAAAUAUUGGAUCAACUGAGGUCAGUCAGCUGAAUGAAGCAGUCAGCUAGAUUUUAUUCUGAAGCAACCAACUUCCUGUCCAUUUUCAUUAACAUCGUUCUCAUGAUGAUAAAUAAUUUCUUUUCUUUCCAUCUUUUAUUGAUGUAUGGUCCCCCUUGUUACUUGUAUCCCAAUUAUCCCUGUACUGUUCAAACACUGUUGUCUGUAUAAUUUUCUUGUCAAUCACUGCUAUCUGUGACUCUAUAAUUUUCUUUCUCCAGAUAUAGAGAACAAAUCUCAAUUAUGAGCGAGGAUACUGUUCUAGAAAGCUAGAAAAGAGAUAAGAAUGGUAUAUUUUUAAAAGAGAAGUUAAAAUAAAUAAGAUAGUAUUGAUGAAUAAAACUUCCAAAGACAGAAUCCUGCUGGAAAAAAAAAAGGCUUUGCAAUCCCUAUAUUUUCUGAGUGGCUAUUCCUAUUCUUGUGAAAAUAUCAAAUUCUUCAUUCGUGGAUGCUGAUAAUCCUCAACAUAAACCAACAGAACAAGAACACUAGCGAUAUUAUCCAAGCAAAUAUUGGCAAGUUGUUGUACAAUAAGUAAAAAAUCUUAAAUUAUUAUGUCUAAGCCUUUGAUUUACACAAACGAAGAUGAAAUCUAUCAAUGCACAGGAACACAUCAACGGAAAAUGGAUAACCCAAAAGCUAGUGAUUUCGUCAUAGCACAACAGGUGAACAUCUGAACCAGUUCAGAGAAAUUCAAAAGUAAAAAAAGAAAAGGUUACCUGAAGGCAAGUAGACUCAGUCCCAUUUUUUAAUCCCCCAAAUUCAAUACUUCAAUAUCGCAUUAUCAAGUUCUCAUCAAAAUUUUUGGUUAUUAUUGGCCUCAAAUCCUACUUAAUUGGCUAUCACUGCCACUGGAAGCAACUCCAUUCAGGAUUUCUCAUCUGCUCUGCUCUGCUUCCGCUUGGAAACUGUUACCUGCUAUAACCGUUGGGAGUUGGCCUUGACGGAUAUCAGUAUUGAAUUCGGGGGAUUAAAACAUGGACUUUUGGGUGAAG
rnacentral:lncRNA from 1 species